AUCCAUGACUCCAUGGGAGCUGCCGCUUGUGGCUGAUUCCCUUCCUAGGCAUGGAAGAGCAGGACUUGCUAAUUGGCAAAACUUUUACCCUCUUGUGGGUAUGAGUCGUUGACUGUGGCAAGUAACAAAC
rnacentral:snoRNA from 1 species